GCGGGCGUGGCGGAAUUGGAAGACGCGCCGGGUUUAGGUCCCGGUGGGCGAAAGCCCUUGGAGGUUCGAGUCCUCUCGCCCGCA
rnacentral:tRNA from 1 species